AUAUUUUGCAAGAAUGGUUAAUAUCAUCCCCGAAAACCCUCUUUAUAUUUUGGAAUUCCAGGUUUGUGGAAGACAGGACGACGUGGGAAAUAUAUAAGCAAUUUCUCUGGGGCCCAGCGCUGCUCAUCAGCCCCGUGCUGGAUCAGGGUGCUGUGUCGGUGAAUGCGUACCUCCCGAAUGCCCGUUGGUAUGAUUAUCACACAGGAGAAUACGUCGGAUUCCGGGGAGAAUUCCGAAAUCUGCCCUCUCCUUUGGAGCACAUCAACCUCCACGUCCGCGGCGGUUUCAUCCUCCCCCAACAGACCCCCGCCAACAACACGGCCUACAGGUAGGAACAGGAAUUGACUCCAAUUCCC